rnacentral:lncRNA from 1 species
GCUUCUCUUACCGUGUUAAGGCUCCUCUCUGGAGCCAGCUCCCGAGUUUGACCCUUGCCUUUGAUGUGAUAUGGCUGACCCCUAGGUGAAUCCCCCUGAGGCUGGCUGCAAAGAGAGUAUCAAAAUCCAGUGGCAAGGCAGAAGUCAAGACUACUGAUGAUGGCUCAGGAUGCAGAGGAUGACCUUGGUCUCUUCCAUGGCAGACCAAGCUCUAAGUGCUCUACAAUGCCUGCUUCAGCUGCUUUCCUGGACAUUGGAACAAAUUCUUCUCAUUCAUUCAUUCUGCCAAGGGAAGUGUUCACAUGCAGUAGACACCCCUUUAACUCUCUACCAGGUUCAAGUUCCUUGGAAGGUUUACAAGGAUGUGGCCACUGCACAUGCUACAGCUUCUUAGAGCCACAGAGUCUCUGGAGACAAAUUCUGUUGCUGAUUAGAAGAUGAUGCUGGGAUAUGUAGAAGUGAUGGUCAAUAUGAAACACAUAUGAAUCUUCCUUCUUGCCCUCGUUGAAUCAAACAAAGGAGAGUUAAGUGGCUAUCUGAUUUGGAGUUUACAGGGCUUCUCUAUAAAGACUGGUACAAUUGUGGACACUAACUACUAGCUAUUGUAUUUUUCAUUCCUUUUUGAGAGUAACUGGCAGGUGCGAAACAUUUAUAUGUGAUCCAGACCUUUCCAUAUGGGAAAAUGCAACUAUGUGACUUUCUGGUCCUCUUGUGAUGCUCUCAGUACCUAUGACUAGGAGCUAGACUUAUUAUAGGUAAGUGAAAAAGAAAUGACUUUUCAACUUUCUUAGAGAAGUAUCAGAGAUUUAUUUAAUUGUUCAGAUUAUAUUUUAAGGAAAAAGUGGUCAAAACAGAUCUUGAUGUAAGCAUCAUUGGGAUAACCAAAUAGACCAUAAAUUCAUUAAAACAUUCAAUUAUAUUAGCCAUCACCAUAGGCUUAAAGAAAAAAGGAUGAUUCUUACUCUGCCUUUUUAAAAUUUCCAACCCUAUAUUUCCUACCACUAGCCUCAACCUUUGCCUUUUUCACCCUCAUCCUUUAUUACUUUGUCUCUUAUUUUAAUCCUUUUCCAGGGAGUAGGAGAAGCAGUUUUUUUUUAUACUGUUUCUAACUCAUCCAUGGAAGACUCAGAAGGAAAGCGGACAACCGUUUUUUUUUUUUAAUCCCAUAAAUUCAAGCAUACACUUUCCUCUUCCCCUAGCCCAUAGCUAGAUCCACAUCCUCAUCACUACUCUGGCUAACAGCCACAAUUAAGGCUUUUGCAGCAGAAUUAUUGUAGUUACAGUAUAUCCCAUUCCCCCUCCCCUCGAUUCUGCUCUGCCAUCCAUUUUUGACAACUUCCUUGUUUCUUUGACUGUAGAUUCAAUCAAACAAGAGGAGGGCAGUCUGUUAUUGUGGUGCCAGGAAAGAUAGGUUUGUCUUAAUGAUGCUUUCACUGCUAGC